rnacentral:rRNA from 1 species
GACGACGCUGGCGGCAGGCCUAACACAUGCAAGUCGAACGAGUGGCGGACGGGUGAGUAAUGUCUGGGAAACUGCCUGAGGGAGGGGGAUAACUACUGGAAACGGUAGCUACUACCGCAUACCAUCGGAUGUGCCCAGAUGGGAUUAGCUAGUAGGUGGGGUAAAGGCGCACCUAGGCGACGAUCCCUCGCUGGUCUGAGAGGAUGACCAGCCACACUGGAACUGAGACACGGUCCAGACUCCUACGGGAGGCAGCAGUUGGGAAUAUUGCACAAGGGGCGCAAGCCUGAUGCAGCCAUGCCGCGUGUAUGAAGAAGGUCUUCGGAUUGUAAAGCACUUUAAGUUGGGAGGCGUUACCAACAGAAUAAGCACCGGCUAACUUCGUGCCAGCAGCCGCGGUAAUUC